UACAGAGGUCUCGAGCGUUGUUCGGAUUCAUUGGGCGUAAAGGGUGCGUAGGUGGCGCUGUAAGUCGGGUGUGAAAUCCUGGGGCUUAACCCCGGAACUGCAUUCGAUACUGCAGUGCUUGAGGACUGGAGAGGAGACUGGAAUUCUCGGUGUAGCAGUGAAAUGCGUAGAUAUCGAGAGGAACACCAGUGGCGAAGGCGAGUCUCUGGACGACACCUGACACUGAGGCACGAAAGCUAGGGGGAGCAAACAGG
rnacentral:rRNA from 1 species